rnacentral:rRNA from 1 species
CGAAUGCUUGCAUUCACCGAAAGAAGCUUAGUGGCGAACGGGUGAGUAACACGUAGGCAACCUGCCCAAAAGAGGGGGAUAACACUUGGAAACAGGUGCUAAUACCGCAUAACCAUGAACACCGCAUGAUGUUCAUGUAAAAGACGGCUUUUGCUGUCACUUUUGGAUGGGCCUGCGGCGUAUUAACUUGUUGGUGGGGUAACGGCCUACCAAGGUGAUGAUACGUAGCCGAACUGAGAGGUUGAUCGGCCACAUUGGGACUGAGACACGGCCCAAACUCCUACGGGAGGCAGCAGUAGGGAAUCUUCCACAAUGGACGAAAGUCUGAUGGAGCAACGCCGCGUGAAUGAAGAAGGCCUUCGGGUCGUAAAAUUCUGUUGUCAGAGAAGAACGUGCGUGAGAGUAACUGUUCACGUAUUGACGGUAUCUGACCAGAAAGCCACGGCUAACUACGUGCCAGCAGCCGCGGUAAUACGUAGGUGGCGAGCGUUGUCCGGAUUUAUUGGGCGUAAAGGGAACGCAGGCGGUCUUUUAAGUCUGAUGUGAAAGCCUUCGGCUUAACCGAAGUAGUGCAUUGGAAACUGGAAGACUUGAGUGCAGAAGAGGAGAGUGGAACUCCAUGUGUAGCGGUGAAAUGCGUAGAUAUAUGGAAGAACACCAGUGGCGAAAGCGGCUCUCUGGUCUGUAACUGACGCUGAGGUUCGAAAGCGUGGGUAGCAAACAGGAUUAGAUACCCUGGUAGUCCACGCCGUAAACGAUGAGUGCUAAGUGUUGGAGGGUUUCCGCCCUUCAGUGCUGCAGCUAACGCAUUAAGCACUCCGCCUGGGGAGUACGGUCGCAAGACUGAAACUCAAAGGAAUUGACGG